rnacentral:rRNA from 1 species
GUGCCAGCCGCCGCGGUAAUACCGGCAGCCCGAGUGAUGACCGAUCUUAUUGGGCCUAAAGCGUCCGUAGCUGGCCUCGCAAGUCCGUUGGGAAAUCCACCCGCCUAACGGGUGGGCGUCCAGCGGAAACUGUCCGGCUUGGGGCCGAACGACCCGAGGGGUACGUCCGGGGUAGGAGUGAAAUCCCAUAAUCCCGCACGGACCACCGAUGGCGAAAGCACUUCGAGAAAACGGAUCCGACAGUGAGGGACGAAAGCCAGGGUCUCCAACCGGAUUAGAUACCCGUGUAGUCC